rnacentral:rRNA from 1 species
AUUGAACGCUGGCGGCAGGCCUAACACAUGCAAGUCGAGCGGAAGAAGGGAGCUUGCUCCUGGAGUCAGCGGCGGACGGGUGAGUAAUGCCUAGGAAUCUGCCUGGUAGUGGGGGAUAACGUCGGGAAACGGGCGCUAAUACCGCAUACGUCCCGCGGGAGAAAGCGGGGGAUCUUCAGACCUCACGCGAUCAGAUGAGCCGAGGUCGGAUUAGCUAGUUGGUGGGGUAAAGGCCUACCAAGGCGACGAUCCGUAACUGGUCUGAGAGGAUGAUCAGUCACACUGGAACUGAGACACGGUCCAGACUCCUACGGGAGGCAGCAGUGGGGAAUAUUGGACAAUGGGCGCAAGCCUGAUCCAGCCAUGCCGCGUGUGUGAAGAAGGUCUUCGGGUUGUAAAGCCCUUUAGGUUGGGAGGAAGGGCAGUAAGUUAAUACCUUGCGGUUUUGACGUUACCGGCAGAAUAAGCACCGGCUAACUUCGUG